rnacentral:rRNA from 1 species
GAGCCUACGGGACGCAGCAGUGAGGAAUAUUGGUCAAUGGGCGCGAGCCUGAACCAGCCAAGUAGCGUGAAGGAUGACUGCCCUACGGGUUGUAAACUUCUUUUAUAAAGGAAUAAAGUGAGGCACGUGUGCCUUUUUGUAUGUACUUUAUGAAUAAGUAUCGGCUAACUCCGUGCCAGCAGCCGCGGUAAUACGGAGGAUCCGAGCGUUAUCCUGAUUUAUUGGGUUUAAAGGUAUCGUAUAUGGGUUGUUAAGUCAGUUGUGCAAGUUUGCGGCUCAACGGUAAAAUUGUAAUUGAUACUUGC